CCUCGAUCCGGAGCGUCUCGCCCGGCGCGCCCGGGUCUGACCUUCCCCGCUUCACGUCAUAGGGGCUGUCCUGCCGGGCAGCCCCUCAAACGUGCUUGAUCCACUCUUCCCGGUGACCGUGGCUCGCCAGCCCGGUCCGUGUCGCGCCCGCACGGCCACUCGUUACGGAGGUGGCCGAGAGGCACCGGCGGGACACGGAAGGGCGCGGCAUUGGACGCAGGUAGGCGAGU
rnacentral:antisense_RNA from 1 species